rnacentral:sRNA from 1 species
AAGAAGGUAGAUCAUGAGCCUGCCCACCUCCCACUGUUCUUACCCUUUCCUUGGUGUCUGUGCAGCAGAGCCAGCUGCUUUACUAACAUUCUUUUUCCCCCAAAGAUGAAAUGUGGCAACUGUGGUGAGAUUUCGGACAAGUGGCAGUACAUCCGGCUGAUGGUAACUGUUCCCCCUCAACCCCCAACAUAAACACUCACAAACACACAUACACUUCUGGGCAGGGAUUUGGGGAAACUGGCCUUCAUCUCUCCAGUUCUUUGCUCCCUGCUUUUUGUGGUUUGGGAGGGUAGGUGUCAGUGUGAUCAGCACUGGAUUCAAUAGGCAUCUUUGAGGUAUGAGGCAGAGUUCAAAAUCAAGGGGAAGCCCUUUUUUUAUUUUCCUCAGGAAGCCUUCCCAGGAGUCUUGUCCUAGUAAGUUACCCUUUCUGGGUCUUGGUCUCUUUAAGUGGACAAUAAAUGGUGGGCUCGAUCUCCUCAGGACUGUACAUCUAAUUCAUAUGUGACUGAAAGUUCUGUUUGCUUUUUGCCAGGACAGUGUGGCACUGAAGGGGGGCCGUGGCAGUGCUUCCAUGGUCCAGAAGUGCAAGCUGUGUGCAAGAGAAAAUUCCAUCGAGAUUUUAAGCAGCACCAUCAAGCCUUACAAUGCUGAAGACAAUGAGAACUUCAAGACAAUAGUGGAGUUUGAGUGCCGGGGCCUUGAACCAGUUGAUUUCCAGCC